GGCGAACGCUGGCGGCGUGCUUAACACAUGCAAGUCGAGCGGUAAGGCCCGUUUCGGGGGUACACGAGCGGCGAACGGGUGAGUAACACGUGGGUGACCUGCCCUCAGCUCGUGGGAUAAGCCUGGGAAACCGGGUCUAAUACUGGAUAUGACUCCAUGACGCAUGUUGUGGGGUGAAAGCCUUGUGCGGCUGAGGAUGGGCCCGCGGCCUAUCAGCUUGUUGGUGGGGUGANGGCCUACCGAAGGCGACGACGGGUAGCCGGCCUGAGAGGGCGA
rnacentral:rRNA from 1 species